rnacentral:misc_RNA from 1 species
GGAAGAACGCAGCGAAAUGCGAUAAGUAAUGUGAAUUGCAGAAUUCAGUGAAUCAUCGAAUCUUUGAACGCACAUUGCGCCCGCCAGUAUUCUGGCGGGCAUGCCUGUUCGAGCGUCAUUACAACCCUCAGGCCCCCGGGCCUGGCGUUGGGGAUCGGCGGAGCCCCCCGUGGGCACACGCCGUCCCCCAAAUACAGUGGCGGUCCCGCCGCAGCUUCCAUCGCGUAGUAGCUAACACCUCGCGACUGGAGAGCGGCGCGGCCACGCCGUAAAACACCCAACUCUUCUGAAGUUGACCUCGAAUCAGGUAGGAAUACCCGCUGAACUUAAGCAUAUCAAUAGCGGAGGA